GAUGAACGCUGGCGGCGUGCCUAAUACAUGCAAGUCGAGCGAACAGAUGAGGAGCUUGCUCCUCUGACGUUAGCGGCGGACGGGUGAGUAACACGUGGAUAACCUACCUCUAAGACUGGGAUAACUUCGGGAAACCGGAGCUAAUACCGGAUAAUAUAUUGAACCGCAUGGUUCAAUAGUUAAAGACGGUUUUGCUGUCACUUAUAGAUGGAUCCGCGCCGCAUUAGCUAGUUGGUAAGGUAACGGCUUACCAAGGCAACGAUGCGUAGCCGACCUGAGAGGGGGAUCGGCAAAACUGGAACGGAGAAACGUUCCAGAUUCCAACGGGAGGCAGCAGUAGGGAAUCUGCAGCAAGGGGCGAAAGCCUGACGGAGCAACGCGGGGUGGGUGAUGAAGGUCUUCGGAUCGUAAAACUCUGUUAUGAGGGAAGAACAAAUGUGUAAGUAACUAUGCACGUCUUGACGGUACCUAAUCAGAAAGCCACGGCUAACUACGU
rnacentral:rRNA from 1 species